AAGAAAGAGGAAUUUGAAGGCCGAGUGGAAGAGUUUAAAUCACAAGAGAAGGACUUUGAAAGCCGAGUAAAGGGGUUUGAAUCAAAAGAGAAGGACUUUGAAAGCCGAGUGAGGAAGUUUGAAUCAGUAGAGAAGGACUUUGAAAGCCUAGUGAAGAAGUUUGAAUCAGUAGAGAAGGACUUUGAAAGCCGAGUGAGGAAGUUUGAAUCAGUAGAGAAGGACUUUGAAAGCCGAGUGAAGAAGUUUGAAUCAGUAGAGAAGGACUUUGAAAGCCGAGUGAGGAAGUUUGAAUCAGUAGAGAAGGACUUUGAAAUCCGAGUGAGGAAGUUUGAAUCAGUAGAGAAGGACUUUGAAAGCCGAGUUAGGAAGUUUGAAUCAGUAGAGAAGGACUUUGAAAGCCGAGUGAGGAAGUUUGAAUCAAAAGAAGAGGAACUUGAACUAAGAGACGGUCAAUAU
rnacentral:lncRNA from 1 species